GAUGAACGCUCGCUACAGGCUUAACACAUGCAAGUCGCGGGGCAGCAUGGGGGUUGCUUGCCAUCCCCGAUGGCGACCGGCGCACGGGUGAGUAACGCGUAUCCAACCUGCCCUUCACCACGGGAUAACCCGGCGAAAGUCGGACUAAUACCGUAUGUUGUCCAUUGACGGCAUCCGAUUUGGACGAAAGGCUUGGCGGUGAGGGAUGGGGAUGCGUCCGAUUAGCCAGACGGCGGGGUAACGGCCCACCGUGGCUACGAUCGGUAGGGGUUCUGAGAGGAAGGUCCCCCACACUGGAACUGAGACACGGUCCAGACUCCUACGGGAGGCAGCAGUGAGGAAUAGUGGUCAAUGGGCGUAAGCCUGAACCAGCCAAGUAGCGUGCAGGAUGACGGCCCUAUGGGUUGUAAACUGCUUUUAUGCGGGGAUAAAGUGGCCCACGGGUGGGCUUUUGCAGGUACCGAAUGAAUAAGGACCGGCUAAUUCCGUG
rnacentral:rRNA from 1 species